CCGAAUUCGACUUCGACACAAUAUCCUGCCGGCGAUUAUUGUGCGACCUGCAGUGUCAGUCGGAUUCGG
rfam:Parastagonospora nodorum SN15 hypothetical protein (SNOG_08459), mRNA